rnacentral:rRNA from 1 species
GACGAACGCUGGCGGCGUGCCUAACACAUGCAAGUCGAACGGGGUAAUGACUUCGGUUAUUACUUAGUGGCGAACGGGUGAGUAACGCGUGAGGAACCUGCCUCUCAGUGGGGGACAACAGUUGGAAACGACUGCUAAUACCGCAUAACACUUCCGGAUGGCAUCAUUUGGAAGUCAAAGCUUUAUGUGCUGAGAGAUGGCCUCGCGUCUGAUUAGCUAGUUGGUGGGGUAACGGCCCACCAAGGCGACGAUCAGUAGCCGGUCUGAGAGGAUGAACGGCCACAUUGGGACUGAGAUACGGCCCAGACUCCUACGGGAGGCAGCAGUCGGGAAUAUUGCGCAAUGGAGGAAACUCUGACGCAGUGACGCCGCGUGCAGGAAGAAGGUUUUCGGAUUGUAAACUGCUUUAGACAGGGAAGAAACAAGACAGUACCUGUAGAAUAAGCUCCGGCUAACUACGUG